rnacentral:rRNA from 1 species
AGUGAACGCUGGCGGUAGGCCUAACACAUGCAAGUCGAACGGCAGCACAGUAAGAGCUUGCUCUUACGGGUGGCGAGUGGCGGACGGGUGAGGAAUACAUCGGAAUCUACUUUUUCGUGGGGGAUAACGUAGGGAAACUUACGCUAAUACCGCAUACGACCUACGGGUGAAAGCAGGGGAUCUUCGGACCUUGCGCGAUUGAAUGAGCCGAUGUCGGAUUAGCUAGUUGGCGGGGUAAAGGCCCACCAAGGCGACGAUCCGUAGCUGGUCUGAGAGGAUGAUUCGGCAAAAUGGAACUGAGACACGGUCCAGACUCCUACGGGAGGCAGGAGUGGGGAAUUUUGGACAAUGGGCGCAAGCCUGAUCCAGCCAUACCGCGUGGGUGAAGAAGGCCUUCGGGUUGUAAAGCCCUUUUGUUGGGAAAGAAAAGCAGCAGGUUAAUACCCCGCUGUUCUGACGGUACCCAAAGAAUAAGCACCGGCUAACUUCGUG